GUGUAGUGUACAUAAAGGUUGUGAGUGGUCAAUAAGGAUCACUCCUAAUAAGGAGAGCGAACAUCCUAUGUGAUCUCAUAGGUUGAUGAUUCAAAAAGUCAUAGGCUAAAGUAGGAUAAUAAUUAUAAAAGAAUUUCUAAUGUAUCAUCAACUGAAUCAUCAUCAUUUGAUGGAGAUACAUAUAGAUAAGUAUUUGGGUUUGAUAUGAUUCCAUAGCCAUAGCUCAUCUGGGAUGUUGUAUGAUUGAAGGAUUGAAUUGCACGAU
rnacentral:lncRNA from 1 species